GCCUCGUUAGCGUAGUUGGAUUAUCGCAUCUGUCUAAUACACAGCGCCUCAGAAUAUUCUGAGUAAUUGAAUUCACAACAGAAGGUCACUGGUUCGAGCCCAGUACGGGGCA